rnacentral:rRNA from 1 species
ACGGAGGGUGCAAGCGUUAAUCGGAAUUACUGGGCGUAAAGCGCACGUAGGCUGUAGUGUAAGUCAGGGGUGAAAUCCCACGGCUCAACCGUGGAACUGCCUUUGAUACUGCACAACUUGAAUCCGGGAGAGGGUGGCGGAAUUCCAGGUGUAGGAGUGAAAUCCGUAGAUAUCAUGAAGAACCCCGAUUGCGAAAGCAGCAUGCUGGGGCAUAUCUGACGCUGAGUCACGAAAGUGCGGGUAUCAAACAG